GGGCAGCAUGAAAGUUUGCUUGCAAACUUUUGAUGGCGACCGGCGCACGGGUGAGUAACACGUAUCCAACCUGCCUCAUACUCGGGGAUAGCCUUUCGAAAGAAAGAUUAAUACCCGAUGUCAUAGUCCUACCGCAUGAUGGGAUUAUUAAAGAAUUUCGGUAUGGGAUGGGGAUGCGUUCCAUUAGUUAGUUGGCGGGGUAACGGCCCACCAAGACGACGAUGGAUAGGGGUUCUGAGAGGAAGGUCCCCCACACUGGUACUGAGACACGGACCAGACUCAUACGGGAGGCAGCAGUGAGGAAUAUUGGUCAAUGGGAGAGAUCCUGAACCAGCCAAGCCGCGUGAGGGAAGACGGCCCUAUGGGUUGUAAACCUCUUUUGUCGGAGAACAAAACCCGGGACGAGUCCCGGACUGCGUGUAUCCGAAGAAAAAGCAUCGGCUAACUCCGUGCCAGCAGCCGCGGUAAUACGGAGGAUGCGAGCGUUAUCCGGAUUUAUUGGGUUUAAAGGGUGCGUAGGCGGUCCGUUAAGUCAGCGGUAAAAUUGCGGGGCUCAACCCCGUCGAGCCGUUGAAACUGGCAGACUUGAGUUGGCGAGAAGUACGCGGAAUGCGCGGUGUAGCGGUGAAAUGCAUAGAUAUCGCGCAGAACUCCGAUUGCGAAGGCAGCGUACCGGCGCCAGACUGACGCUGAGGCACGAAAGCGUGGGGAUCGAACAGGAUUAGAUACCCUGGUAGUCCACGCAGUAAACGAUGAAUGCUGGUUGUCCGGGUCGAAUGAGACCUGNGCGGCGAAGCGAAAGCGAUAAGCAUUCCACCUGGNGAGUACG
rnacentral:rRNA from 1 species